rnacentral:pre_miRNA from 1 species
UAUAUACUCCCUCCGUCCGAAAAUACUUGUCAUCAAAAUGGAUAUACAUCUCUUUUUAUCCAUUUUGAUGACAAUUAUUUCUGGACGGUGGGAGUAGUAA